UACGUAGGGUGCGAGCGUUAAUCGGAUUUACUGGGCGUAAAGCGUGCGCAGGCGGCCCGUUAAGACAGGUGUGAAAUCCCUGGGCUCAACCUAGGAAUUGCGCUUGUGACUGGCGGGCUCGAGUACGGUAGAGGGGGGUGGAAUUCCUGGUGUAGCAGUGAAAUGCGUAGAUAUCGGGAGGAACACCGGUUGCGAAGGCGGCUACCUGGGCCUGUACUGACGCUCAUGCACGAAAGCGUGGGGAGCAAACAGG
rnacentral:rRNA from 1 species